AUUGAACGCUGGCGGCAGGCCUAACACAUGCAAGUCGAACGAGUGGCGGACGGGUGAGUCAUGUCUGGGACACUGCCUGAUGGAGGGGGAUAACUCCUGGAAACGGUAGCUAAUACCGCAUCACAUUCGAUGUUCCCAGAUGGGAUGAGCUUGUUGGUGGGGUAACGGCUCACCAAGGAGACGAGCCCUAGCUGGUCUGAGAGGAUGACCAGCCACACUGGAACUGAGACACGGUCCAGACUCCUACGGGAGGCAGCAGUGGGGAAUAUUGCACAAUGGGCGCAAGCCUGAUGCAGCCAUGCCGCGUGUAUGAAGAAGGCCUUCGGGUUGUAAAGUACUUUCAGCGGGGAGGCGUUACCCGCAGAAGAAGCACCGGCUAACUCCGUGCCAGCAGCCGCGGUAAUUC
rnacentral:rRNA from 1 species